rnacentral:rRNA from 1 species
GACGAACGCUGGCGGCGUGCUUAACACAUGCAAGUCGAACGGAAAGGCCCUGCUUUUGUGGGGUGCUCGAGUGGCGAACGGGUGAGUAACACGUGAGUAACCUGCCCUUGACUUUUGGAUAACUUCAGGAAACUGGGGCUAAUACCGGAUAGGAGCUCCUGCUGCAUGGUGGGGGUUGGAAAGUUUCGGCGGUUGGGGAUGGACUCGCGGCUUAUCAGCUUGUUGGUGGGGUAGUGGCUUACCAAGGCUUUGACGGGUAGCCGGCCUGAGAGGGUGACCGGCCACAUUGGGACUGAGAUACGGCCCAGACUCCUACGGGAGGCAGCAGUGGGGAAUAUUGCACAAUGGGCGGAAGCCUGAUGCAGCAACGCCGCGUGCGGAAUGACGGCCUUCGGGUUGUAAACCGCUUUCGCCUGUGACGAAGCGUGAGUGACGGUAAUGGGUAAAGAAGCACCGGCUAACUACGUG